rnacentral:rRNA from 1 species
UUUGUAGGUGGCCGACUAAGUCAGACGUGAAAUCCCUCAGCUUAACUGGGGAACUGCGUCUGGGACUGGUGGGCUUGAGGGCCGGAGAGGAACGCGGAAUUCCAGGUGUAGCGGUGAAAUGCGUAGAUAUCUGGAGGAACACCGGUGGCGAAGGCGGCGUUCUGGACGGCAUCUGACACUGAGAAACGAAAGCCAGGGGAGCAAACGGGAUUAGAUACCCCGGUAGUCCUGGCCCUAAACGAUGAAUGCUUGGUGUGGCGGGUAUCGACCCCUGCCGUGCCGAAGUUAACGCAUUAAGCAUUCCGCCUGGGGAGUACGGUCGCAAGGCUGAA